rnacentral:rRNA from 1 species
AUUGAACGCUGGCGGCGGGCCUAACACAUGCAAGUCGAACGAGUGGCGGACGGGUGAGUAAUGUCUGGGAAACUGCCUGAUGGAGGGGGAUAACUACUGGAAACGGUAGCUAAUACCGCAUACCAUCGGAUGUGCCCAGAUGGGAUUAGCUAGUAGGUGGGUUAAAGGCUCACCUAGGCGACGAUCCCUAGCUGGUCUGAGAGGAUGACCGGCCACACUGGAACUGAGACACGGUCCAGACUCCUACGGGAGGCAGCAGUGGGGAAUAUUGCACAAUGGGCGCAAGCCUGAUGCAGCCAUGCCGCGUGUAUGAAGAAGGCCUUCGGGUUGUAAAGUACUUUCAGCGGGGAGGCGUUACCCGCAGAAGAAGCACCGGCUAACUCCGUGCCAGCAGCCGCGGUAAUUC